GGCAAUCUCCUUAUCCGGGCGUUGAAGAAAUUGGCUAUUGUUAUAUACAACCUUGAGAUAAAUGAGCAGGGUGUUGUUCCAGGCAGGGAUGCGAGUGGUGCAGGGCAUGAAAGAUCAAGCAUCCAAGUAUGAUUCAACUAUAAAGUCUCUGACAGAUUCUGCUUGCUCUUCCUCUUCCUCUUCAAAGCAAGCCUGGUGUUUCUCUGGUGCAGUUGAUUCUGGUACUAUUAAGGCUGCCAAGAAUGAGAAGCUUAGGCCGGCUGAGGAGUCUCUCAAGACUGCUAUGUACUUGAGCUGCUGGGUUUCUAAUUAGUAAAACGAGCAUCGCUAUUCUCCAAGACGAAGCUGUUUGUGGAUUAAUUCUUUUGUGUAAUUCCCUACUUAGUUGGCUUUGUCUUUUUUACUUUCUAUUUUUUGUCAAUAACUAGUUAAUAAAUUCAAUUUCAUAAGAU
rnacentral:misc_RNA from 1 species